GUCUCUCUAUCACUCUCGCGACUCUCAAGUCUCACCCUGCUCAUGACUCGAUCUCUCUCUCACGCAUCUCUUAGCGAUCUCAUGAUUCUCACCCUGCACGCAAGGUGAGGCGAUCUCUCUCUCACAUGAUUCUCAACGAUCUCUCUCUCAGGCGACUCUCAUCCUACUCGAGCAGGUUCUAUUUUAGAAGUUUUGGAAUGAGAACAAAGACUCCAGCUAGUAGGAGUACUAUCGAUGCAUCUACAGGUGGUAUGGGUCAGGAGGAUGAAUUAGGCAUCAAUGAACAAAGGAAGAACAUCACAUGGACCAAGCAAAUGGAUGAAACAAUGAUUCGAUGCCCCCAAGUCCAAGUCUGGGAGGAAAAAAAGAUAGGAAAUUCUUUCAAAGAGUUGGCUUACAAUUUUGUUGCUAAAGAGGUAAAUUCAAAGCAUCCACAACACCAUAAAGAAGUAACAAAAGAUAAUGUGGUCAAUCGCUUUAGGACAAUUAAGUAGACCUGUAGAAACCUUCUUCUUUGUCUUGAGCAAAGUGGGUUUAGUUUUGAUCAUACGGAGAAGAAGUUGAAGGUAGAAGACCAACUAUGGUAUCCAUCUGCUGUUAAGAAAGAAAAAGAAUUCAUGAAGUUGAGAAACAUGACUUGGCCCCUGUUUGAAGAACUUAAGAAAGUUGUGGAUGAAGAUCACAUCACAGGGGAAUUUUUUCGAUCAAAUAGAGAUUCUUUCCGUCAGAGAAAAGAUAAAGGAACAACUUCUGAAGAACCUAGGCCAUACAUCCAUCCAGUGGACCAUAUGGAGAUUGGUGAGACAAACGGCAGUGAAGAUUUGAACACUGUAGUCCCAAUGUCCACAUCACAUUCUAAAGAAGGGAAUGGAGCUGGUGCAACUCGAGAGAGAAAGAGAGCGAAGGUAGCAUUGGAUGGACAUAUAUCUUCUAUUGCCGCCUCUAUAGAUCGUUUGGCGACUGUGGUCUAAGAGAGGCAUGUCUCUCCUAAAGCAUUGUUGGAAUGCUAUACAAGAAGUAGAUGGAUUUAGCGAAGAUACACUUGACAUCAUCUUUGAUUUCCUCAUAGUAAAUGAACCUCAAGCAAAGGCAUUUUUAGUUAGGGAUGUGGAGCAACGGAGGAGGUGGAUCUUGAGGUUUCUUGAUCAAGGCCAUUGAUGUGAGGUCAUCUAGGAGGGAUACUAACUGAAGGAAAUGACAAGGGAUUCAUAGAAAUGCAACCAAAUUUAUAUAAUGUUGUGCUUGAAGAUGAUACUUAUAAGGGAUAGAACAAGAUUGGCUUUAAAUUCAUAGCAAAUGUAUGAAAUUCUGUUUUUUAAAUCUGUAUAUGCAUGGAUUUAUGUCAGCCCUUUGAAUCUAGAAUUAAACAAAAUUCAACACUAA